AUUGAACGCUGGCGGCAUGCCUUACACAUGCAAGUCGAACGGCAGCACGGGUGCUUGCACCUGGUGGCGAGUGGCGAACGGUUGAGUAAUACAUCGGAACGUACCUUAUCGUGGGGGAUAACGCAGCGAAAGCUGUGCUAAUACCGCAUACGCCCUGAGGGGGAAAGCGGGGGAUCGCAAGACCUCGCGCGAUUAGAGCGGCCGAUGCCUGAUUAGCUUGUUGGUGGGGUAAAAUCCCACCAAGGGGACGAUCAGUAGCUGGUCUGAGAGGACGGUAAGCCAAACUGGGACUGGGAGACGGCCCAGACUCCUACGGGAGGCAGCAGUGGGGAAUUUUGGACAAUGGGGGCAACCCUGAUCCAGCAAUGGCGCGUGAGUGAAGAAGGCCUUCGGGUUGUAAAGCUCUUUUGUCAGGGAAGAAACACCGGCUCUAACACAGUCCGGGAAUGACGGUACCUGAAGAAUAAGCACCGGCUAACUACGUGCCAGCCGCCGCGGUAA
rnacentral:rRNA from 1 species